ensembl:lncRNA
GGCCAGGGCUAAGGAGGGGCGGGGGCCAGUUUGGGAGCGGGCGGGGCGGGGACGGGCUGAGGAGGGGCGGGCCAGUAGGGAGUAGGCGGGGCUUGGGUGGGGCGGGCUGAGGCGGAACGGGGGCGUGACCAGGGCGGCCCCCAGUGGGCGUGGCGGGCUGAGGGGCGGGGCUAACUUGGCGUGGGCGUGACCUGGGCGGGGACGUGGGCGUGGCGGGCCCGGAUGGGCGGGGUAUGGGCGGGGCGGGCAGGUGUGGCCGGCGCAGGCGCUAACCGGCUCUUGCGGAAAGCGGUGUAGAAGCGGCGAGUAGAAACUGAGGAACUGUAAGAUGGACACCCUGCGGGUGAAAGCGCCCUCGGACUCGACCUGGGCGUCCCUCUAGGGCACAGCGAGUGCCUGCGUCAGACACCUCCCCGGCGCAGGGAGUGAGGAAAGGGCCUGCCCCCGGGCGUUCAAAGAGAUCCGUUCAGGAAAGAAGGGAGGGCGCGUUUCCGAAGCUCCGACUUCAGGACCUUCUGGAAGCGCUCCGCGGGUAGAGGAGGAGCCAGGCAAGUGCCGGAAACGGAAGCGGGUCACAGAAGAGGGGGCGCCCCGCCCCCCGCCGAGGCCCCGCCUGCCGGGAGCAGGAGCUCCGCCCGUGGCAAAGGUCAUGAGGAAGGAGGCUGGGCAUACGCAAAGGAACGCAGCUUUGUCCAAUGCUUUUUGGAGGCUGGCGCCUGACUUUAGAAUAAUCACCUUUAGAGAAAAAUAAGUUUCUUAAAAUGUUAACAGGCCUCCUGGCCAGAAGAUGAUGUAAUUCACCUGAACUCUUGCAUGUGAUAAGUUUGAAAGCCUGGCUUUGAUUAGGAUCAGGAACUGCUGUCCUUGCAUGACACCAUCCCUUCCCCUAUUAUCCUCUAUGCACAACUUAAGGUAUAAAAACUACUUUGGAAAAUAAAGUGCGGGCCUUGUUCACCGAAACUUGGUCUCCCCAUGUCGCUCUCUCUCUCAAAUUCUGGCUGAGUCUCCAUCUGGAGCGCGGAA